GUCCGGGUGGGCUUUCACAGGAGGCGAGUUUUUUGUUCUUGGUGUUUUGGGGCUCCCUCAUGGACUCUUAGCGCGCACGUUUUAAUGCGCGGAUUCCUCCCUGGCUGUUCCUCAUGACCUUGAUCUCCGCGCAGGGCCGCGCGCACAUCGGGUAACGCACCAAGUUCCCAUCAGGGUCUCCAAGUUUGCUGUUAGGAGGCUCGCGCUUUGGUGAAACCAUUCAUGGUGUUGGCAUGACUGCCCAAGACUCCUUUAGAAUCCCCUCGAUAAGGAAGCUGAGGUUCACAGAAGAAAAAUAAUUUCUGUAAGGUCAUGUGACUAAU
ensembl:lncRNA